AAGGAGGGGGUCUUCUACUGCGUGCUAUCAAUAUAGCAAGUGUCAAGUUGUGUUAACUGGCAUUGAGCCCUAGAAAUCCGAAAACAACUGGGAUGAAAUAGGCUCAAAACGACAUUGCGUUAUUAUAAAAUCUGUGCAAUCCCACAUCAGUAGUAGGUGUCAGAGGAACAUUCAAAGCCACCAAUAUUGAAAAUAGAUGAAAAAAUUAGGCAUGAUACCCACACAUUUUUUCUCUCAUUCCAUUUGAAAAUUCUAAUAACAAAAAGCCUAGUUUCUAAGGCUCUUGUCUCCCAUCCAAUUUUCCAUACAUGGACGACGCCUUUGCUAGAUCUAUUCCCGAGGUACAAAUCAAAUAAAUUUAUGGACAAGUAUUGUAUUGAAGAUUGAAGAUGUCAUGUUGGGACUCUGUUGCAAUGGAAGUACGAGAUAUGGUGUUAUUGAAUGCGACCCUAUGAUAAAGAAGGG